CAGGUAAAACUGCCGAUUGCUAAGAUCCUUGUGGAGUUGAUUUCCUGUCUCUAGGGAGGUUUCUUGUGGAGUUCAUGCCAUUGAGAAUAUCCAUCGAUGAGGCUGAAGAGAAAAAGGCUAUGGAAGAGGCUGAAGAAAAGAGCCUUCAGAGACUGCACUAAACCAUCGAUCUAAAAGAAAUGGAUGGUGGAUACUAAAAAGAAAGAAGUCAGUUGUAUGAAAGACCAAA